CACUCCUACGGGAGGCAGCAGUGGGGAAUUUUGGACAAUGGGCGAAAGCCUGAUCCAGCAAUGCCGCGUGCAGGAUGAAGGCCUUCGGGUUGUAAACUGCUUUUGUACGGAACGAAAAAGCUCCUUCUAAUACAGGGGGCCCAUGACGGUACCGUAAGAAUAAGCACCGGCUAACUACGUGCCAGCAGCCGCGGUAAUACGUAGGGUGCGAGCGUUAAUCGGAAUUACUGGGCGUAAAGCGUGCGCAGGCGGUUAUGUAAGACAGAUGUGAAAUCCCCGGGCUCAACCUGGGAACUGCAUUUGUGACUGCAUGGCUAGAGUACGGUAGAGGGGGAUGGAAUUCCGCGUGUAGCAGUGAAAUGCGUAGAUAUGCGGAGGAACACCGAUGGCGAAGGCAAUCCCCUGGACCUGUACUGACGCUCAUGCACGAAAGCGUGGGGAGCAAACAGGAUUAGAUACCCGGGUAGUCCCAU
rnacentral:rRNA from 1 species